AAAAUCCGUCGACUUUAUAAGUCGUGAGGGU
rnacentral:tRNA from 1 species